AUACGAUCAUCUGCUACCUGGCAUGCUUCUUCUCCAUCUUUUCCCUAAAAAAGACCAGCAGGAUUUCAUCCAUAUGAGUCUGAUCCCCCUCCGUAAAGUAAAAGCCAGCUGAUGAGCGGAGAAUUUUGGAGUGCUACAGACUGGGCAGUGAAGAUGCAGACUGAAGUACAGAAAUGUCAUGUAGUUACUAUGCACCUCUGAUAAAUGAAGAAAAGAAUUGCUACAAAAUAAAAUUGGUUUUAUCUUUUUAACAAGCCAAGCUGAAACUUCAGCAAAGAUUUCAGGCUUCCAUAAUUUCCAUAAAUGUACAUGAAUGACACAGACAUCGGUACUACAUCUGUACAAAUAUGUAUUCAUGAAAUGUUUAAAUUUGAACCUACCAAUUAUAAACAUUUAAGAGAGUUAUGGAGGUUUGUGUUCAGGAACUUGUUAGCAAGAAAUUUACUUUAAAAAUGAUGCUGGAACGUUAAUUGUAGGUUCCACCUACUGUGUCAAAUUUAGUUCAGUAAACCCACACUGUUCAAUGAGAAUUUUUGCAGCCUGCACAGAAAUACUUCCCUUUUAGAUUUGCUGUCACAAGCACAGCGAAACAACUGUUGCAGCAAUGUACGACAGUAAUAGAUUUUACAUGCAUGAGAGAUGUAAGCCUCCAGUCUGCCCCCCCAAAGCACCCAGCAAAGGGAAUAGAUAUUGGACAUUUCGUCUGUAUCUGCAGAAUUGUAACUGGUGUUAAUUCUAGAAAUGGCAAAUGGACACCUGAAUAAAGCUAAAGAAAAUA